GAAGGUGGCCUGUGAGGGUUGCUGGAGGUAUCAGAAGUGCGAAUGCUGACAUAAGUAACGAUAAAGCGGGUGAAAAGCCCGCUCGCCGGAAGACCAAGGGUUCCUGUCCAACGUUAAUCGGGGCAGGGUGAGUCGACCCCUAAGGCGAGGCCGAAAGGCGUAGUCGAUGGGAAACGGGUUAAUAUUCCCGUACUUGGUGUUACUGCGAAGGGGGGACGGAGAAGGCUAUGUUGGCCGGGCGACGGUUGUCCCGGUUUAAGCGUGUAGGUGUGUGUUCCAGGUAAAUCCGGUUCACUUUAACACUGAGGCGUGACGACGAGGCACUACGGUGCUGAAGCAACAAAUGCCCUGCUUCCAGGAAAAGCCUCUAAGCAUCAGGUAACAUCAAAUCGUACCCCAAACCGACACAGGUGGUCAGGUAGAGAAUACCAAGGCGCUUGAGAGAACUCGGGUGAAGGAACUAGGCAAAAUGGUGCCGUAACUUCGGGAGAAGGCACGCUGACACGUAGGUGAAGUGAUUUACUCAUGGAGCUGAAGUCAGUCGAAGAUACCAGCUGGCUGCAACUGUUUAUUAAAAACACAGCACUGUGCAAACACGAAAGUGGACGUAUACGGUGUGACGCCUGCCCGGUGCCGGAAGGUUAAUUGAUGGGGUCAGCGCAAGCGAAGCUCCUGAUCGAAGCCCCGGUAAACGGCGGCCGUAACUAUAACGGUCCUAAGGUAGCGAAAUUCCUUGUCGGGUAAGUUCCGACCUGCACGAAUGGCGUAAUGAUGGCCAGGCUGUCUCCACCCGAGACUCAGUGAAAUUGAACUCGCUGUGAAGAUGCAGUGUACCCGCGGCAAGACGGAAAGACCCCGUGAACCUUUACUAUAGCUUGACACUGAACAUUGAGCCUUGAUGUGUAGGAUAGGUGGGAGGCUUUGAAGUGUGGACGCCAGUCUGCAUGGAGCCGACCUUGAAAUACCACCCUUUAAUGUUUGAUGUUCUAACGUGGACCCGU
rnacentral:rRNA from 3 species